GUUCCUUUUCUUAUGAGUAAGGAAAAUAAUGAUUCGGAGUGAUGCCCGAGUCCUCACUGCUAAUGUGAGAAGAAUUUUUGAGCGGGUAAAGGUUGUCUCCUAAGGCAACCCGCCUACUUUGCGGGAUGCCUGGGUACAGUAGCCUGACCG
rnacentral:snRNA from 1 species